UACGUAGGUGGCAAGCGUUGUCCGGAUUUAUUGGGUUUAAAGGGUGCGUAGGCGGCUUUGUAAGUCAGUGGUGAAAUAUGGCAGCUCAACUGUCAGGGUGCCAUUGAUACUGCGGAGCUUGAGUACAGAUGAGGGUAGGCGGAAUUGACGGUGUAGCGGUGAAAUGCUUAGAUAUCGUCAAGAACACCGAUAGCGAAGGCAGCUUACUGGGCUGUAACUGACGCUGAGGCACGAAAGUGUGGGGAUCAAACAGG
rnacentral:rRNA from 1 species